AUGGCAGCUGCCGCGCUCAGAGCACGGCUGAACAACCUCGUCACAUCCAUGUUCGCCACGGGCAUGCUGGACGAGAAUUUCCACCAACUGCAGUCCAUGGAGGAGGAUGGCACCGCAGCCCGGGGCUACGUCGCCGACAUGAUCAACCUCUUCAUCAAGGACACCAAGAGGAUCCUCAACGACAUCGCCGGCCUGCUGAGCCAACCCGUGGUGGACUACGACAUGGUGGACGUCCUCGUGCGUCAGCUCAAGGGGUCCAGCUACAGUGUUGGUGCUAAGAAAGUGAACCUGUCCUGCAUGCAAUUCCGUCGGUUCAAUGAGCCAAGAAGGAAAGAAAGGUGCCUCAUGGCGUUGGCUCUUGCUUGGAGUGAGUUCUGUGAUGUGCGAAGCAAGUUCGAGGCUAUGAUGCAGCUGGAGGAGCAGAUCGCAACCUAUGGUCCUAAGUAG
rnacentral:rRNA from 1 species